rnacentral:lncRNA from 1 species
AGGUUGAACGGGAAGUAUAUUGAGCUUCAAUUAACUCGGAGGUUUAUGGCAGAGGUGGUUAUGUUGCCUAGUCCGCUUGUUAAGCGCAUUUUGGAGAAAAAUAUGGAGGAGAAGAUGCGUGUCGGUGAAAUUAAAGAAGGUGAUUCGGUUACUGUUGACCUUGGUUCUGAUGGGAAGAUAUUGGUUCUUGACAGUAGAAGCGGUACUCUGGCGGAAGAGGCUGAGGAAGGUAGCAGUGGUGCUCCGGCAGAAGAGGGUGAGGAAGGUAGCAGUGGUGCUCCGGCAGAAGAGGCUCCGGCAGAAGAGGCUGAGGAACCAGUUAUUGUCUAGAUGUGCGCCCCAUUGUCCUUUUUCCUGUGGUGUUUAUUUAUUAUUAUUUUUUUAUCGUUCUGGCUAUGUUGAGGUGACUGUGUAGAGCCAGUGCAACGAGAAUGAUUUAGAGUGCUCUUUAACUUCAGAAUCGUUCUGGCUGUGUUGAGCUGACCUCCCAGUUGUUAUAGUAGACUAAAACUUUCCUAUGUAAACAAUUUAUUUUUAAUAAAAGUUUAUUCGUUCGAGAAUUUGCAUUUGGUUAUUAGUCGCCUAUAAUUUGAAAAAUGAUUAUUCAAUAUAUUAAUUGCAAGAGUCCAAAUAUUGUAAUAGUAUUUGAGAUGUUGUGUUAAGUUAGGAUGUUGUACACGUAAGAUCAUUUUUAAAGUUCGUUUAGAAUAUUAAGUUUAUAAGCUUAAUUGGGAACUUAUAAACUUAAUAUUCUAAACGAACUUUAAUUGUGUGUGUGAGAGAGAGAGAGAGUGAGAGAGGCGGCGGAAAAAAGCUGAGCCGCCGUGCCAAAACCCUUAUUGGUUUUACCGCCAAAAGCCUCGUCAAUUUCGUUCUGUCCUUGAUUUUGUUUGGUUGAUUUACACCUUUGUGUUGAUUUAUUCCUGUAAAUCUAUCUUAAUUUUUUUUAAGUUUAUGAUAAUUAUAGAAAAAAAAAAUUAUUAUUAUUUUAAGAUAAAUAGUAUAUGAUUCUUCAAGAAUUAUUGUUCUUUUUAUGAAUAAACAUCAACCCAAAUCAUUUGUUGGUUCCGAUUAAUUCAUGAUUCGUAUUUUUAGAGAAAAUUUCACUUUUUUUAAACUUUAAAUUCUAAUUAUUAAUAGGUGUUUGAGACAUUACUAAGAAAAAUCUCAAAAUAAGUUUAAAUAAUUCCGCUUGAAAGCCAUACAACUAAUCGAGCUCGAGUCAGAGUUCAUCGAACUUUAAUUAUUAUUAUUUUUAGUUCAAAUAGGAUAGUUGCCCAAAAAGCUUAAACCUUUGUAUCAUAAGUGAUGAUGAUAGCAUUGAUAAUAAUGUAUAUUAAUCAAUAUAGAUUAUAUAACAUUGACUCGUCCUUAGUGAACUCAUCCAAUUUGGCAUAUCUCAUUAAAAAAAAUGAUUAAAUAAGAAUGUCAAGAAAAAGAAGACUAAAACUUUAAAAGUGGGUUAGAACUUUAAACAUUAAAUACUUUAGAUAGGAAUCAUUAUGUAGCCAUUUCAUCUCAAUAUACACUAACAAUUUUCAAAAGUAGGUGGUGUUUACUAUAAGCUUAUUUAAAAGCAGAAGUUAAUAAUUGUGAGUUAAGUGAGUAUUAAAUGUUUAUUUCAAAAAAUUGGGGACAUUUGCAAAUAUGUUAGAAAAUCAACUUAAAUAGAAAAAACAAGUCUAGAGAUGUUUUUAAAAAAAUAGUUUAAAGCAACUUAUUUUAGGAGAAACAUGAACAAAAGCUAGUUUUACAAACACCGAGAAACAGAUUAUGAGCAAAAAAAACCUCAAAAGCUGCUUCUAAAAAUUUUAGCAAACAAGUGAAUGAAACAAAUAUUUAGUACGUGAAGAAAUAAUUAAAGGGCUAAACCUAUUUAAGCCCAAUUAGUAAAUUGGGCUCAGUGUUCAAAUCCGGGUCCUUCAAACGACCCACUUUUAAAACGGACAUAGAUAUUCGCCGAAGCACCACGAUUCUGAAACGCAACAAAGAUAAGGCAGAGAAAUCGUUUGAAACGUCUACAGAUGUCUACAGUUCUCUCAUUUUUUUUCUCGCUCAAUCCUCCGCUGUUCAUCCACUCGCUCUCGUUCUUCUUCAUUUAUUUUCAACGCUCUUACUCAGGUAAAUCCUCUUUUCCUUACUCUUUAAUUCAUAUAUAUUCGUCGAUAACUGCCGAUUUCUCACAUCUAGGGUUCUUUUCUCGAUUGUCUGUUAGAUUUAAAUCUUUGUGGAGAAUCGAGUGUUAGUCUUGAUUUUUUUAUGAUUUAGAUUCUUCAUUUUUUGGUUUUUUUUUUAAAUCUGUUUAUUGCGUGUGAUUUUAUGUUUAUUGAAGCUUGUGUUUAAUUUAGGGUUUAUGUUGGAAAAAUUUGGGUCUUUAGUGGGAGUUUUGCUAAAGAUCUAGACUUGAGAUCUAGACUUGAGAUGAUUAUAAAGAUCUAGACUUGCCGCCACAAUGAUACGAAUUAGAAGCUAUUGUUUUUCUGCGGUGCUGGUCAAUUGUAAUAGGAUUUGAGUUUCGCCGUGGUUUUGGCUUUCUGAUUGCUUCCUUUGUUGUUAGAGUUUGAAAUGAUAUCAGUUUCAUUCUAAUUUGAGAAAAUGCCUGCUGACUCCUUAAUUUCAGAUAUUUGAAAAAAAAAAUGUUUUCUUUUAAAACAGAAUUGGAUGCUUGUAAGAUUGUUUACAUUGUUGAACCCAGAAACAAAAUUAGUCUCUGCAGAUAGCAUUCUAAAAGCCUCUCAUUAUUUGAAAUAACAAGCAGAUCACCAGUGCUGUAUUUGUUGGUAUUCUGUGGAUGUUGAUGCAUUCAUUUUGGCUAUUUCAUAUCUAGAAAUGCUAUUGUAUGUUUUGGUUGUUUUCUAAUUUCUUUAACUUAUACGCAGACCACUCGGGUGCAGACAUGAUUGAUCGUUUUAUCGACAAUACGAUGUUCAGGGAUUAUAAUGAAGCACAUAAGGUGAGGUUGAACGGGAAGUAUAUUGAGCUUCAAUUAACUCGGAGGUUUAUGGCAGAGGUGGUUACGUUGCCUAGUCCGCUUGUUAAGCGCAUUUUGGAGAAAAAUAUGGAGGAGAAGAUGCGUGUCGGUGAAAUUAAAGAAGGUGAUUCGGUUACUGUUGACCUUGGUUCUGAUGGGAAGAUAUUGGUUCUUGACAGUAGAAGCGGUACUCUGGCGGAAGAGGCUGAGGAAGGUAGCAGUGGUGCUCCGGCAGAAGAGGCUCCGGCAGAAGAGGCUGAGGAACCAGUUAUUGUCUAGAUGUGCGCCCCAUUGUCCUUUUUCCUGUGGUGUUUAUUUAUUAUUAUUUUUUUAUCGUUCUGGCUAUGUUGAGGUGACUGUGUAGAGCCAGUGCAACGAGAAUGAUUUAGAGUGCUCUUUAACUUCAGAAUCGUUCUGGCUGUGUUGAGCUGACCUCCCAGUUGUUAUAGUAGACUAAAACUUUCCUAUGUAAACAAUUUAUUUUUAAUAAAAGUUUAUUCGUUCGAGAAUUUGCAUUUGGUUAUUAGUCGCCUAUAAUUUGAAAAAUGAUUAUUCAAUAUAUUAAUUGCAAGA